GAUGAACGCUAGCGGCAGGCCUAACACAUGCAAGUCGAGGGGUAACAGGAAAGCUUGCUUUUGCUGACGACCGGCGCACGGGUGCGUAACGCGUAUGCAACCUACCUCAUACUGGAGGAUAGCCCUUGGAAACGAGGAUUAAUACUCCAUGGUAUCAUGAAUUCGCAUGUUUUUAUGAUUAAAGUUUUUCGGUAUGAGAUGGGCAUGCGUCCCAUUAGCUAGUUGGUGAGGUAACGGCUCACCAAGGCGACGAUGGGUAGGGGGCCUGAGAGGGUGGUCCCCCACACUGGUACUGAGACACGGACCAG
rnacentral:rRNA from 1 species